AAGAAUAAAUGCUAAUCAUUUUAAAACAUAUCUUUCGCUUGCUUCUAACUUUUUAACAUAUAUGGUUUUUAUAAGGUUCAAUUUCUGUAAUGUUCUGGUAUAGGUCAACAUGAAGUUUUUGCCUCGGGCCCAAUUAAGGACUUGAUAGUACAUCGGGAGCAUCGAUACCCUAUAUCGGGUUCACCACUUCUUGCAGCUAUGGAUGAAAAGCACUCAACUCUCUUCUUGUGAUCUUAACAAAGAACAAACUGAUACAUCACAACUGAAGUUAAAUGGACACGUGGACUUGGUAUUACGACAGAGAUGCUUGGUUAGCUCACCAGUGGCCUUGAAUUCGCUUGGAACAAACUCAAGGGUGAAGGUCUUACUUCUAUCUUUAAUGUGUUUUUUUAUUGUUGUUUUAAUGGUCUUAAUUUGAUUGUUUUUGUUUGUUAACGAUGAAUAUAUUAGUUAGGUUUUAUUGUUAUUAUCGUCUUGAUUAUAUAGAAUUUAUUAGUUAGGGUUUAUUGUAAUUAUUUCCAUAGUAAUUAGGAGAUUGACUUGAUUAGGUUUCGUAAAUGGGUUAAAAGAUCCAAUUUGUGUGCCGGUUAAGGUUGCUGGUAAAUGAGUAUAUUGUGUGUAAAUGACAUAUGAAGUCAUUUAAA